UUCCCAUGAGGUGUUCGCAAAAUCGUAUAAACCUUUCGCCUUUUACUAAAGGUUUCCGUGUGAGUACCUCUGUGCAGUGGGAUAAUGAAUUUUUUGAAAUUCCUAUUGAGGGAUU
rfam:Rhizophagus irregularis DAOM 181602 strain DAOM 197198 GLOINscaffold_2330_Cont2332, whole genome shotgun sequence.